AUUGAACGCUGGCGGCAUGCCUUACACAUGCAAGUUGAACGGCAGCACGGGACCAAUCCUGGUGGCGAGUGGCGAACGGGUGAGUAACGUAUCGGAACGUGCCCAGUCGUGGGGGAUAACGUAGGGAAAGUUACGAUAAUACCGCAUACGCACUAUGGAUGAAAGAGGGGGAAAGAAAGAACGAGCGCGAUUGUAGUGGAAGAUAGCAGACUAGGUAGUGGGUGGGUUAAAGGCUCACCAAGCCGACGAUCUGUAGCUGGUCUGAAAGGACGACCAGCCACACUGGGACUGAGACACGGCCCAGACUCCUACGGGAGGCAACAGUGGGGAAUUUUGGACAAUGGGCGAAAGCCUGAUCCAGCCAUGCCGCGUGCAGGAUGAAGGCCUUCGGGUUGUAAACUGCUUUUAUACGGAACGAAAAGGUUUGGCCUAAUAAGCUGAGCUCAUGACGGGACCGUAAAAAUAAGCGCCGGCUAACUACGUGCCAGCAGCCGCCGUAA
rnacentral:rRNA from 1 species